CAGCCCAGAACACAAGCUAGUAAGCAACACUCCCCAACAGCCUCUGCUUCAGCUCCUGCCUCCAGGCUUCUGCCUUGAGCUCCUGAUCUGGCUUUUCUCAGUGAUGGACUGUAACCGCUUCGGCUUGGAUGUCAGACUCCCGUUCCACUUCAUAUGUCAGCAUGUCAGUCAUUCGAGGAGUGUCUACAAGCAAGUGACAGAAGGAGGUUCAGCCCUAACUUAUCUAACCCUCUUCAGGCUGAAGACAAAAAGAUAAGACUAAGGAGGUAGAAUAAAGCAUUAGUCACAGACAGCUCCUGCUUAGGCUCUGAAACCUGUAAGGCAUCUGGAGAAUGCUGGAGUCUGGCUUCCUUGAACUGAGAACAUCAAAGGCAAUGAGAAAGACUGAGAGGUACCUCAUCCUCUGUCAGCCUGCGUCAUCUUCCAAGUCUGAGGGUUCUGCAGGCAGAGAGCCAGGCUGCACGCCACGAACCCGUGGCUACCGACUCACUUCUAACUUUUCUGAGUCCAGAGGUCUCCUUUUGAUCAAGAAGGCUUUAAAUAAUAAGAAAAUGGAACCCUGACACUAUUAGGUCGUUCUGGCUAUUGCUUCUAGCCUUUUGCUGCUAGCAGGUUACAACUUGAAAC
ensembl:processed_transcript C430002N11Rik RIKEN cDNA C430002N11 gene